GGGGUGUGGGAUGGACUUACCUCCUCGUGGUGCACCCUGGGCAACGUAUAAUCAUACGGCAAAAAUGUGGUG
rfam:Hymenolepis nana genome assembly, scaffold: HNAJ_contig0001595